UACGUAGGGGUCGAGCGUUGUCCGGAGUUACUGGGCGUAAAGCGCGCGCAGGCGGCGCGAUAAGACCGGCGUGAAAGCCCCCGGCUCAACCGGGGAAUUGCGCCCUAGACUGCAAGGCUGGAGUGAGGUAGGGGUGUGUGGAACUUCCAGUGGAGCGGUGAAAUGCGUAGAGAUCGGGAGGAACACCCGUGGCGAAGGCGGCCUGCUGGGCCGAUCCUGACGCUGAGGCGCGAAGGCGUGGGGAGCGAACGGG
rnacentral:rRNA from 1 species